GCCUGGCUAGCUCAUUUGAUAGAGCAUUUGACUCUUAAUCUCAGGGUUACAGGUUCAACCCCCAUGCGAGGCA
rnacentral:tRNA from 1 species